rnacentral:sRNA from 1 species
UCGCGGGUGGUGCGAAAGACUUUCCGGGCGCGUCCGGGUGCCGCGGCUCUCCGGGCCCCCCUGCAGCCGGGGCGGCCAAGGGGCGUCGGCGACAUCCUCCCCCUAAGCGCCGGCCGGCCGCUGGUCUGUUUUUUCGUUUUCCCCGUUUCGGGGGUGGUGGGGGUUACGGUUUCUGUUUUUUAAACCCGUCUGGGGUGUUUUUCGUUCCGUCGCCGGGAUGUUUCGUUCGUUCGGCCCCUCACGGGGCGAAGGCCGCGUACGGCCCGGGACGAGGGGCCCCCGACCGCGGCGGUCCGGGCCCCGUCCGGGCCCGCUCGCCGGCACGCGACGCGAAAAAGGCCCCCCGGAGGCUUUUCCGGGUUCCCGGCCCGGGGCCUGAGAUGAACACUCGGGGUUACCGCCAACGGCCGGCCCCCGUGGCGGCCCGGCCCGGGGCCCCGGCGGACCCAAGGGGCCCCGGGCCGGGGCCCCACAACGGCCCGGCGCAUGCGCUGUGUUUUUUUUUUCCUCGGUGUUCUACCGGGCUCCGUCGCCUUUCCUGUUCUCGCUUCUUCCCCCCCCCCCCCUUCUUCACCCCCAGUACCCUCCUCCCUCCCUUCCUCCCCCGUUAUCCCACUCGUCGAGGGCGCCCCGGUGUCGUUCAACAAAGACGCCGCGUUUCCAGGGCACCGACGGCCCCGCCCGAGGAGGCGGAAGCGGAGGAGGACGCGGCCCCGGCGGCGGAAGAGGCGGCCCCCGCGGGAGUCGGGGCCGAGGAGGAAGAGGCGGAGGAGGAAGAGGCGGAGGCCGCCGAGGACGUCAGGGGGGUCCCGGGCCCACCCUGGCCGCGCCCCCCCGGCCCUGAGUCGGAGGGGGGGUGCGUCGCCGCCCUCUUGGCCCCUGCCGGCGCGAGGGGGGGACGCGUGGACUGGGGGGAGGGGUUUUCCUGGCCCGACCCGCGCCUCUUCCUCGGACGCACCGCCGCCUCCUGCUCGACAGAGACGGCGGAGGGGAGCGGGGCGGCGCCGGAGGGGGCGGCGCCGCGGGAGGGCCCGUGCCCACCCUCCACGCCCGGCCCCCCCGAGCCGCGCGCCACCGUCGCACGCGCCCGGCACAGACUCUGUUCUUGGUUCGCGGCCUGAGCCAGGGACGAGUGCGACUGGGGCACACGGCGCGCGUCCGCGGGGCGGGCGGCCGGCUCCGCCCCGGGGGCCGGGGCGCGGGGGCCGGGCCCCGGAGGCGGCGCUCGCACGCACGGGGCCACGGCCGCGCGGGGGCGCGCGGGUCCCGACGCGGCCGCGGACGCGGGGGGCCCGGGGCGGGGGGCGGAGCCUGGCAUGGGCGCCGCGGGGGGCCUGUGGGGAGAGGCCGGGGGGGAGUCGCUGAUCACUAUGGGGUCUCUGUUGUUUGCAAGGGGGGCGGGUCUGUUGACAAGGGGGCCCGUCCGGCCCCUCGGCCGCCCCGCCUCCGCUUCAACAACCCCACCCCCAACCCCAACCCCCCCGGAGGGGCCAGACGCCCCCCGCGGCGCCGCGGCUCGCGACUGGCGGGAGCCGCCGCCGCCGCUGCUGUUGGUGGUGGUGUUGGUGUUACUGCUGCCGUGUGGCCCGAUGGGCGCCGAGGGGGGCGCUGUCCGAGCCGCGGCCGGCUGGGGGGCUGCGUUAGACGCCCCGCCCGUCACGGGGGGCGCGGCGGUGCCUCUGCGUGGGGGGGCGCGGGGCGUCCGGCGGGGGGCGGGCGGGACGUAGUCUGCUGCAAGAGACAACGGGGGGCGCGAUCAGGUUACGCCCCCCUCCCCGGCCCGCCCUUUCCUCGCCCGCCCGCCCAUUCCUCCCUCCCCCCCCCUCCUCCUCCUCCUCCCCCAGGGUCCUUGCCGCCCCCCGCCUCACCGUCGUCCAGGUCGUCGUCAUCCUCGUCCGUGGUGGGCUCCGGGUGGGUGGGCGACAGGGCCCUCACCGUGUGCCCCCCCAGGGUCAGGUACCGCGGGGCGAACCGCUGAUUGCCCGUCCAGAUAAAGUCCACGGCCGUGCCCGCCCUGACGGCCUCCUCGGCCUCCAUGCGGGUCUGGGGGUCGUUCACGAUCGGGAUGGUGCUGAACGACCCGCUGGGCGUCACGCCCACUAUCAGGUACACCAGCUUGGCGUUGCACAGCGGGCAGGUGUUGCGCAAUUGCAUCCAGGUUUUCAUGCACGGGAUGCAGAAGCGGUGCAUGCACGGGAAGGUGUCGCAGCGCAGGUGGGGCGCGAUCUCAUCCGUGCACACGGCGCACACGUCGCCCUCGUCGCUCCCCCCGUCCUCUCGAGGGGGGGCGCCCCCGCAACUGCCGGGGUCUUCCUCGCGGGGGGGGCUCCCCCCCGAGACCGCCCCCCCAUCCACGCCCUGCGGCCCCAGCAGCCCCGUCUCGAACAGUUCCGUGUCCGUGCUGUCCGCCUCGGAGGCGGAGUCGUCGUCAUGGUGGUCGGCGUCCCCCCGCCCCCCCACUUCGGUCUCCGCCUCAGAGUCGCUGCUGUCCGGCAGGUCUCGGUCGCAGGGAAACACCCAGACAUCCGGGGCGGGCUAAGGGGAAAAAAGGGGGGCGGGUAAGAAUGGGGGGGGAUUUCCCGCGUCAAUCAGCGCCCACGAGUUCCCCCUCUCCCCCCCCCGCCUCACAAAGUCCUGCCCCCCUGCUGGCCUCGGAAGAGGGGGGAGAAAGGGGUCUGCAACCAAAGGUGGUCUGGGUCCGUCCUUUGGAUCCCGACCCCUCUUCUUCCCUCUUCUCCCGCCCUCCAGACGCACCGGAGUCGGGGGUCCCACGGCGUCCCCCAAAUAUGGCGGGCGGCUCCUCCCCACCCCCCUAGAUGCGUGUGAGUAAGGGGGGCCUGCGUAUGAGUCAGUGGGGACCACGCCCCCAACACGGCGACCCCGGUCCCUGUGCGUUUGUUGUGGGGGCGUGUCUCUGUGUAUGAGUCGGGGGGUCCCACGGCGACCCCGGGCCCUGCGUCUGAGUCAAAGGGGCCAUGUGUAUGUGUUGGGGGUCUGUAUAUAUAAAGUCAGGGGGUCACAUGGCGACCCCCAACAGGGCGACCCCGGUCCCUGUAUAUAUAGGGUCAGGGGGUUCCGCGCCCCCUAACAUGGCGCCCCCGGUCCCUGUAUAUAUAGUGUCACGGGGUUCCACGCCCCCUAACAUGGCGCCCGGCUCCCGUGUAUGAGUGGGGGUCCCCCAACAUGGCGGCCGGUUCCAGUGUAAGGGUCGGGGGUCCCCCAACAUGGCGCCCCCCAAUAUGGCGCCCCCCAAUAUGGCGCCCCCCAAUAUGGCGCCCCAGACAUGGCGCCCGGCCCCUCACCUCGCGCUGGGGGCGGCCCUCAGGCCGGCGGGUACUCGCUCCGGGGCGGGGCUCCAUGGGGGUCGUAUGCGGCUGGAGGGUCGCGGACGGAGGGUCCCUGGGGGUCGCAACGUAGGCGGGGCUUCUGUGGUGAUGCGGAGAGGGGGCGGCCCGAGUCUGCCUGGCUGCUGCGUCUCGCUCCGAGUGCCGAGGUGCAAAUGCGACCAGACUGUCGGGCCAGGGCUAACUUAUACCCCACGCCUUUCCCCUCCCCAAAGGGGCGGCAGUGACGAUUCCCCCAAUGGCCGCGCGUCCCAGGGGAGGCAGGCCCACCGCGGGGCGGCCCCGUCCCCGGGGACCAACCCGGCGCCCCCAAAGAAUAUCAUUAGCAUGCACGGCCCGGCCCCCGAUUUGGGGGACCAACCCGGUGUCCCCCAAAGAACCCCAUUAGCAUGCCCCUCCCGCCGACGCAACAGGGGCUUGGCCUGCGUCGGUGCCCCGGGGCUUCCCGCCUUCCCGAAGAAACUCAUUACCAUACCCGGAACCCCAGGGGACCAAUGCGGGUUCAUUGAGCGACCCGCGGGCCAAUGCGCGAGGGGCCGUGUGUUCCGCCAAAAAAGCAAUUAGCAUAACCCGGAACCCCAGGGGAGUGGUUACGCGCGGCGCGGGAGGCGGGGAAUACCGGGGUUGCCCAUUAAGGGCCGCGGGAAUUGCCGGAAGCGGGAAGGGCGGCCGGGGCCGCCCAUUAAUGAGUUUCUAAUUACCAUACCGGGAAGCGGAACAAGGCCUCUUGCAAGUUUUUAAUUACCAUACCGGGAAGUGGGCGGCCCGGCCCAUUGGGCGGUAACUCCCGCCCAAUGGGCCGGGCCCCGAAGACUCGGCGGACGCUGGUUGGCCGGGCCCCGCCGCGCUGGCGGCCGCCGAUUGGCCAGUCCCGCCCCCGAGGCGGGCCCGCCCUGUGAGGGCGGGCCGGCUCCAAGCGUAUAUAUGCGCGGCUCCUGCCAUCGUCUCUCCGGAGAGCGGCUUGGUGCGGAGCUCCCGGGAGCUCCGCGGAAGACCCAGGCCGCCUCGGGUGUAACGUUAGACCGAGUUCGCCGGGCCGGCUCCGCGGGCCAGGGCCCGGGCACGGGCCUCGGGCCCCAGGCACGGCCCGAUGACCGCUUCGGCCUCCGCCACCCGGCGCCGGAACCGAGCCCGGUCGGCCCGCUCGCGGGCCCACGAGCCGCGGCGCGCCAGGCGGGCGGCCGAGGCCCAGACCACCAGGUGGCGCACCCGGACGUGGGGCGAGAAGCGCACCCGCGCGGGGGUCGCGGGGGUCGCGGGGGUCGCGGGGGUCGCGGGGGUCGCGGGGGUCGCGGGGGGCUCCGGCGCCCCCUCCCCGCCCGCGCGUCGCAGGCGCAGGCGCGCCAGGUGCUCCGCGGUGACGCGCAGGCGGAGGGCGAGGCGCGGCGGAAGGCGGAAGGGGCGCGAGGGGGGGUGGGAGGGGUCAGCCCCGCCCCCCGGGCCCACGCCGGGCGGUGGGGACCGGGGCCGGGGGGCGGCGGCGGUGGGCCGGGCCUCUGGCGCCGGCUCGGGCGGGGGGCUGUCCGGCCAGUCGUCGUCAUCGUCGUCGUCGGACGCGGACUCGGGAACGUGGAGCCACUGGCGCAGCAGCAGCGAACAAGAAGGCGGGGGCCCACCGGCGGGGGGCGGCGGCGGGGCGGCCGCGGGCGCGCUCCUGACCGCGGGUUCCGAGUUGGGCGUGGAGGUUACCUGGGACUGUGCGGUUGGGACGGCGCCCGUAGGCCCGGGCGGCCGGGGGCGGCGGGGGCCGCGAUGGCGGCGGCGGCGGGCCAUGGAGACAGAGAGCGUGCCGGGGUGGUAGAGUUUGACAGGCAAGCAUGUGCGUGCAGAGGCGAGUAGUGCUUGCCUGUCUAACUCGCUAGUCUCGGCCGCGGGGGGCCCGGGCUGCCCGCCGCCGCCGCUUUAAAGGGCCGCGCGCGACCCCCGGGGGGUGUGUUUCGGGGGGGGGCCCGUUUUUGGGGUCUGGCCGCUCCUCCCCCCGCUCCUCCCCGUCUGUGGGUGGGGCUCCUCCCCCCGCUCCUCCCCCCGCUCCUCCCCCCGCUCCUCCCCCCGCUCCUCCCC